CAGCCGCCACGGGAAUACGUAGGGGGCAAGCGUUGUCCGGAAUUAUUGGGCGUAAAGGGCUCGCAGGCGGUUUCUUAAGUCUGAUGUGAAAGCCCCCGGCUCAACCGGGGAGGGUCAUUGGAAGCUGGGAAACUUGAGUGCAGAAGAGGAGAGUGGAAUUCCACGUGUAGCGGUGAAAUGCGUAGAGAUGUGGAGGAACACCAGUGGCGAAGGCGACUCUCUGGUCUGUAACUGACGCUGAGGAGCGAAAGCGUGGGGAGCGAACAGGAUUAGAUACCCCAGUAGUCCCUGUCUCUUAUAC
rnacentral:rRNA from 1 species